rnacentral:rRNA from 1 species
UCCACGCCGUAAACGAUGUCUACUAGCCGUUGGGAGCCUUGAGCUCUUAGUGGCGCAGCUAACGCACUAAGUAGACCGCCUGGGGAGUACGGUCGCAAGAUUAAAACUCAAAUGAAUUGACGGGGGCCCGCACAAGCGGUGGAGCAUGUGGUUUAAUUCGACGCAACGCGAAGAACCUUACCAGGUCUUGACAUCCAGAGAACUUUCCAGAGAUGGAUUG